rnacentral:lncRNA from 1 species
CUGGCCUGUUUUGUUUAUUUUAGAAGAGAAUGAGAGAAGAGUGGGAAAUUUUGUUGGUAAAACAUUUCUUUAAAUUAUCUUCUUAAAUGGGUGGCAUGGUCAGUUGGGUAAUAGAAAUAUCUCAUCAGAAAGAAACGGAUAAUGCAUGAAAUGAUUUUAUCAAACUGCAAUGGUAGAAAAUACCUAUUCAGCCUUCACUCAGAGCUUGUUUGUCCUUAUUUUAGGCUUAGUUUUAAUAGGCUUGAUGAUCUGAUUGGCUAGAGAUUAGGAGCAGUAUAUGGAAGUCAAACAUUGUCACUGGUAAAGGAUGGCAUGUUGACUGCAAAUGUAAUCACUGACAGCCUGAAAGUGAAGAAGGAAAUAGAUAAACUAUAAAAAUCAGAAGCAAGAUCUUAAAGAUCAAAAUAUAGGCCACUGGAGGAAACAAGAGUGCAGGGGUAAGCAAAUGUAAGCAUCUCAGUAGCUUCAGAAGCUGUUACUGUGUUUCCCCCAAUUUACAGUAGCUAUUUUUUGAUCUUUCUACUCAGAAUCUAAGUUCUACUAGGGCUGAGACCAUGCCUGCCCCAUAUGAUACUGUUAUCUCCAGGACUUAAUGUUGUACUUGACUCAUAGAAGAGGCUCCCUAAGUAUUUUCCUAGUAAAUGGAAAUAAAUAAAUGAGUAGGUUUGCUAUGGUGAUCUAUGUUUAUGAUAAUGACCCUGAGAUAUUUCUGAUUAAAAACAGAGGCAGUUGGUUUUUUUGCAUUUUAGAUAUAUGUAAUCUCAAAAAAUGUUGGUGUAUAAAGCCUUAUUAAACAUGCUUAAUAUAUAUUCAUUCAUUCCUCAGUGACCUCCUCUCUAACACUGCUGCACUCUCCCCUGCCUAGUUUAUAUUUAAAUUGUCUUAAAAUCAUGGGAUUUAAUUUUCAGAUUAUAAAUACUCAUAUAUGUAGAUAUAUACUAAAAUAUUUUGAAUCAUCUGCCAAUGUAUACUAUACCAUUGCUAUGUAAACACAGCAUCUUUUAAGGUCUUGAAAAAUGUUCAGAUAGAUUUUUGUCUAUAGAUAGUAGAAAUCUGUGUAUACCAAUUUGAAGCUAUCUCUUUCUGUAUAGCUAAUGCUUUUAUAGUUAAUUGUUCUUUAAUAGAUCAUAAUGAUUUCCUUGGGUCAUGAUAUAUUUAUUAAAAUAGGUAUUUCAGCAUGCAUUCUAAUUAAGAAAAUGCAUGUUAUGUGUUAGGCAGACACACAGGCUCCAUAUAGUAGAGACAAUAACGUUUAGAUACCUCUAAAAUGAUACACCUGCUCUUCAAGUGUUUCAGAUUUGUAUCCCUAAAAUCUGCCCUUUAAUAGACUAUUGUUAAUUAAAAAAGGAAAGUUAUUUUUGAUAUUCUACAAAACAGGUUAAAUUAUGCUUGGUUCCUUUGUACUUUGUUUCAAAACUGUGUUUUUAAUUCGUUGUGUAGAAUUCAGAAUUUUUUUUUUUUUUUUUUUUUUUGAGAGGUGGUAUCUUACAGAGUGGAGGAAAAGAUGAGAGGAAGUCUUUUUCCAUAGGUACAUAUUUGGUCUAAGGCAAAAUUUUGAAAUAGGGAAAAGUAUGUUUUUGACAGUGACAUCCUACCACUUAGCACCCUUCUCAACCCAGUCAACCUGAAGGCACCAAGUUAUCCAAAUUUAGUUCUUGGUCUUUGAUUGCUAUAGUCCAUUCCAGUCUAAAUCACUCCUUUAAAUUUUUCUAGUUCCAAAGUCAUCUGUAUUUUCUUACCAAUCAAAGGUCCCAGCCAACAAUUAUUUGAGUACCUGUUCUGAUUUUGGCAAUGGGCUAGAAACUAUAUAGAAAUAAAUGUGAACCCUACAUCAUGUUCUCAGAGAGAAUGCAAUCUAAUAUUGUUAAUGGCAAGCAUGACUAACUCAUUUUACUGGAAAAGACAGAAUAUGCAAAAAACAGGCAUAAACCAGAUGAAAUGAAAGUUCAGAGAAAAAGACCAAUUGCAUGAACCAGGAAAGGUUUUUCUGGAAAAUGUGGACCUUGAGGAUUGGUUAACAUCUUUAGAAGCAGCGAUGGGUUGGAAGAUGGACAUAUGUUACAAGUGAAAGUAGGAACACCACAUAUGGCUGCCCAAGAGUUGGAUUUUGUAAAAUCGUGAGGGCACCAUUCAAAUAGAGUAUGAUAUAAAUGGUGGCAUGAGUGAAAGUCAGGAGAUGGGAAAUAUACAAGGUUAGGAUCUGAGAAUCAUAAGUAGGAAGGCCUGGACCAUGUUGUGAUGGAACUUGAAUGAAAGAGUGAAGUUGUUUUGCCCUGUUCUUUAGGUUGUUGUGCUAAAAGUCCUUUCAGACCUCUCAAACUUUGAGUUUCUUUGAUUUUCUGUAAUUCAGUUGGUAAGAGAGAGCUGAGGAAGAUUUUUGAGUAAUGGAGUGGCUUGAAAUUUCAGAAGAUGAAAGAUUAGUUAGAAAUACAUGGGGUGAAAUAAAUCGAAAAGUUAUUAGACUUUAGAUAUGUUUAAAGUGGUUCUGCUCCUUUAAGGCCAUCAAAGUACAAUUGGAGUAUACAUCAUACCGAUGCUCUAGGGGAGGUCACAAGAACAGACGUUUUUGGAUUGGUCCUGAGCGCAGGUCCUCUCUGUUGAAUUGCCCAGUGGACAGCCUGUUGAUCACAGCUGUUUGUUUAUGGGGUUUCACUCCCUUCUUGAGCUCCAGCUCCAUGAAUCGAGAGCCCCAAAAGGAGGCUUGUUAACAGGCUGCUGGAGUAGGGUAGAGGCAAAGUAGUGGGGCUCAAAUUACAGAGGUGAAAAGGAAAUUUAUUCAUUCAUUCAUCAAACCUUUACUGAGUACGACUCAGGGUAAGCAAUGGCUUUGUGUGCUUUGUGUAUAUUCACUAUCUGGUACUGUUUUAUUGCUUUGACCCUUUCUUCCCCCAAAUUCUCUAAAAAGUUUUAGAUUUCUUCACAACAGCUGAGACUCUCUAGGGGUAACAGUAAGACUACUGGUAGUGCUAGAAGGCGACAACCCGGGGAAAGCAGCAGCUGGUUUUAUUUUUGGUUUUCGUCAGGUGGUUGUAAGUUGAGAAUUGCCUGUAUUCAAACAAUGUGAUUUGGUAGUGUAUACUGAACUCCCAUAGAAAUAAUGGAUGUAGUACAAUCACAAGGAUAGAAAUGAACAAUCUCCAACAUCAUAUGCUAGAUAGUAAACUUUUUAAGCACUUGGGCAUGGAUUAAUAGCUUAAAGAGUAUGAAUAUGCUACGGACCAUUCACAGUUUCAUUUCAUGUAAGAUGUAGGUCUUGCUUUGGUUACAGAGAUCUGGCCAUUGGUGAACUCUCCUGUGGAACAGUCAUUGUUUUAUGAUUGGCGAAUUUACCUGAGACAUUGAGGCUCAAGAUUAUGAGAAUGUGUGAUAGGACCAAAAGCAUAUUUCCAGAAAGGAAGCCAGAAGAGGCAAUUAAAGAAUGAGACUGCAAGAAAAAUGCUCUUCUCCCUCUCUCUUCUUGGAAUGUCAACAUAGUUAUUGCUUUUCUGUGUGUCUCAGGGGGGCACUUGGCUGCUUCUUUCCACAGUCUUAUUCCAGGGAGAGCUGUUUAAUUGCAGCCUUCAUGUAGAGUAGGCGCUGGCAAGAGCCGUAGUCAGCUUUCUUCUCUGUGCAAGGAGUACUUUCGGUAGGUCAUCUGAUGUCCUGCCUUGUACUUAAAUACCGUGUGGCCCAGGGUGGUGAGGUGGCGUGGAGUGAUUGGUGAAGUGGGUAUUCCUGCCUACAGUUUCUCAGCCCCUCACUCAACUCUCAGACGUCAAGUUUCUUCUCUCACUGUGCUUUGCAGCCAUACUCAUCUUUGUCAAUUUCCCCAGUCCUUUGUUUAGUUUCUUCAUUCAAAAGUGACAGCAUCACCACUUGACUAUUGAUUUGCCCACGUUCCUGUCCUGCAUCUUAGAAAUGAGAGCACAAUCUGAAAAACGUUUAUUUUUGCUCUGUUCCACUUUAGCCAAUCCAGGAGAUACAUGGAAUAUUCUGCUCUAUCCUGAGAAUCAUCUCUAUUAAGGUUUAGACCUUUUAUUAAGAUUUAUUGUUAACAUUAUAUUAAGGUUUAGACCUUAUAUUAAGGUUUAUUAAGGUUUAGACCUUAAUAGAUUUCUCUCCACUAAGAAUCAUCUCUAUUAAGGUUUAGACCAUUUUUAUUUCACCAAAAACUUGAGGUUGAGUAUCAGUGAUUCUCUCCACUAGGUUCAGAGACUAGGGAUCCAGGAAAUAGGCUAUUAAAUACAGAUCUUCACCCUUUUCCUUUCACCUCUGUACUUAACCCCUGCCCAGGAUCAGAGAUGGCUGCGGUGGUGGUAGGAGAAGAUUAUUGAUGAGAGGCCUGGGAGAGGAGGAUGCUAUGUUCCUGCAGACACUUACACAACAGCUAAAUGUUGUUUUCAGCCUUACACUUUGAGCUGCACUCUCGUAGAGUUUACAAAGAUAAAUGAUCUAUUCUUGCCUCAUUGUUUCUGCCUGGUUCAUUCUCUUGGGAUUUGCUUUUAAAAUAAAUUAUUUGCAACUAAGAUUAUGUGUACACAUACAAUUGGUUUCAUUUACUAAUUCACUUGUUCAAGUAUUGUUGACUAUUGCGUGUGGGCCUGAGCAUGCAAUAAAGAGCAGGCAUGUGUCCCCAAGGAGCUAAUGGUCUAGAAGUGAAGGCUGCAGUCUGUAAAAAAACUGCAAUACAUUAUGAAAGGGCUGUAAGAGAAGGAUGCACAAAGCUUAGCUGUGACAUGAAAGCAAUGCAGCAGCUUUACUUGAGAGGCUUGACAGAGGACUAAGUGCUUGAGCUGCCUCUUGCAGGAUGGGUGGGAAUUUGCCUGGUUGACAGCAUGGGAAAGGGCAUUCCAGGAAGAUAAAGCCUUAGCAAAAAAGGAUCCAGAGACCUGGAAAUAGAGAGAUGCAUUUGUGAGCAGUAAAUCUUCACAUGGCAGGAUUACAAAGUGGGAGGAGGAGUAGAGUCACAAAGGAAGGAUCUGGAGAGCUUGGCCACGACCAGGUCAAGGAGGGUAUGCCAUGCUGCUAUGUUUGAACUCUGUCCUGCAGGCAAGACAGGGGACAUAUUCCGAUUAGCAUUUUACAAAUAUCUCUCAGGCAGCCUCACAAGAAUGAUACAGAGGAAGCCAAGCCCGGAUUUGGGAGACAUGGUGUGCAGACAAUUACAGUAAUAUUCAAGCGAAAAAACAAUGAAAGCCUGAAUUAAUGCUGCGAUAUUUAGAAUAGUGAGCACAGGAUGGACUGUCAAACUUAGCACACAGUACUUAGUGGCUGAGUCAGUGUGAAGGGUGAGGGAAAUUGAAGGCAAUUCCCAGGACUGCAGCUUGGGUGACAAAGUGGGUAGUGAUGAUAUUGCUCAGGAUAAGGAAGAUGAGCAGGCCUUUGAGAAAAGUAGUGACCUACAUUUCAUUUUUUAAUUUUAAUUUUAAUUCAUUUAUUUAUUGAGAUGGAGUUUCACUCUGUCGCCCAGGCUGGA